rnacentral:rRNA from 1 species
UACGUAGGGGGGCAAGCGUUUGUCCGGAUUUAUUGGGCGUAAAGAGCGUGUAGGCGGCCAGGUAGGUGGGUUGUGAAAACUGGAGGCUCAACCUUCAGAGGUCGACCCCAAACCCCCCUGGCUAGAGUCCGGAAGAGGAGAGUGGAAUUCCUGGUGUAGCGGUGAAAUGCGCAGAUAUCAGGAAGAACACCCGUGGCGAAGGCGGCUCUCUGGGACGGUACUGACGCUGAGACGCGAAAGCGUGGGGAGCGAACAGG